rnacentral:rRNA from 1 species
ACGAAUGCUGGCGGCGUGCUUAACACAUGCCAGUCGAACGGAAAGGCCCUGCUUUUGUGGGGUGCUCGAGUGGCGAACGGGUGAGUAACACGUGAGUAACCUGCCCUUGACUUUGGGAUCACUUCAGGAAACUGGGGCUAAUACCGGAUAGGAGCUCCUGCUGCAUGGUGGGGGUUGGAAAGUUUCGGCGGUUGGAGAUGGACUCGCGGCUUAUCAGCUUGUUGGUGGGGUAGUGGCUUACCAAGGCUUUGACGGGUAGCCGGCCUGAGAGGGUGACCGGCCACAUUGGGACUGCGAUACGGCCCAGACUCCUACGGGAGGCAGCAGUGGGGAAUAUUGCACAAUGGGCGGAAGCCUGAUGCAGCAACGCCGCGUGCGGGAUGACGGCCUUCGGGUUGUAAACCGCUUUCGCCUGUGACGAAGCGUGAGUGACGGUAAUGGGUAAAGAAGCACCGGCUAACUACGUG